UUGCUACUCCCUUUGUUCGGAAUUACUCGUCCAAAAAAUAAAUGUAUCUAAAUGUAUUUUAGUUGUAGAUACAUCCAUCUUCAUUUAUUUUUGUGACAAGUAAUUUCGAAUGGGGGAGUAGAAA
rnacentral:pre_miRNA from 1 species